AAUGUGAAAAAGGAAGUUGAAAUGGUGAAGAGCAAAGUUUUUUGAGUGGAGAAGAUGUAUGGAAGACUUGUUUGAAUGUGUGAUUAAAUUAGUUCCUAAAAUGCUACUAGAUGUAAUUUCUGGAUUAUUAUUUUAAAGGAAGAUGGAGAAACACCCUGUUAUUUUGUUAGGCAGAAAAGGAAAAACACUUCCCAAGUACAGUAGUGACUCCUUUAUAUUCACACUGCAUUUUGGAAAUGUGUUACCAGUGAAAGCGUCCCCUGAAUCGCCUGCAGCCUGAUGCCUGCUGGUAACCCUGAUACAGAACCAUCAUGAGCAGCCUCCAGGCAAGCUGUUCCCACACUUGUGUGCCAAUGGAUCUGGAAGCCUAUGUGGAAAAGUCACCUUAUCCAGUUACUAAGUUACCUUUCAGAUUUGUAAAAGCAUGCUAAUGCUCCUUUUUACAGGAGCACCUCACACAUUAUUUCUCUGGGCCUCCACAUCGCUGUUUCCCACUGUAUAUUAAUGUUAAAUACAUGGAUGACUUGAGAACACAGGUUGCUUCUGCCUGGGCCUGCACACACAGAAUGGUUGGCAUUUUGUAGCUUUGUCAGUUGUGUCAUGGGAACCUCGAGGUCUAAAAAGAAACAUCAGCUCAAGUUUUCUUCUCUUCCAGUCUCUUAAGCUUGUUUAAAGUGAGUAUUUUAACAUAAUGAGCUGUAUACAUAGGUACAAUGCCAGUAAGAUUAACAUGGAAAUAAAAUAAAAUAAAAUUA